CCGGCGAUGUCCGAAUGGGGAAACCCAGUGCAAUUCGUUGCACUAUCGUUAACUGAAUACAUAGGUUAACGAGGCGAACCGGGGGAACUGAAACAUCUAAGUACCCCGAGGAAAAGAAAUCAACCGAGAUUCCCCCAGUAGCGGCGAGCGAACGGGGAGCAGCCCAGAGUCUGAAUCAGCUUGUGUGUUAGUGGAACGGUCUGGAAAGUCCGACGGUACAGGGUGAUAGUCCCGUACACCAAAAUGCACAGGUUGUGAACUCGAAGAGUAGGGCGGGACACGUGGUAUCCUGUCUGAAUAUGGGGGGACCAUCCUCCAAGGCUAAAUACUCCUGACUGACCGAUAGUGAACCAGUACCGUGAGGGAAAGGCGAAAAGAACCCCGGCGAGGGGAGUGAAAAAGAACCUGAAACCGUGUACGUACAAGCAGUGGGAGCACCUUCGGGUGUGACUGCGUACCUUUUGUAUAAUGGGUCAGCGACUUAUAUUCUGUAGCAAGGUUAACCGUAUAGGGGAGCCGCAGGGAAACCGAGUCUUAACUGGGCGUUAAGUUGCAGGGUAUAGACCCGAAACCCGGUGAUCUAGCCAUGGGCAGGUUGAAGGUUGGGUAACACUAACUGGAGGACCGAACCGACUAAUGUUGAAAAAUUAGCGGAUGACUUGUGGCUGGGGGUGAAAGGCCAAUCAAACCGGGAGAUAGCUGGUUCUCCCCGAAAGCUAUUUAGGUAGCGCCUCGUGAACUCAUCUUCGGGGGUAGAGCACUGUUUCGGCUAGGGGGUCAUCCCGACUUACCAACCCGAUGCAAACUACGAAUACCGAAGAAUGUUAUCACGGGAGACACACGGCGGGUGCUAACGUCCGUCGUGAAGAGGGAAACAACCCAGACCGCCAGCUAAGGUCCCAAAGUCAUGGUUAAGUGGGAAACGAUGUGGGAAGGCACAGACAGCCAGGAUGUUGGCUUAGAAGCAGCCAUCAUUUAAAGAAAGCGUAAUAGCUCACUGGUCGAGUCGGCCUGCGCGGAAGAUGUAACGGGGCUAAACCAUGCACCGAAGCUGCGGCAGCGACACUAUGUGUUGUUGGGUAGGGGAGCGUUCUGUAAGCCUGCGAAGGUGUGCUGUGAGGCAUGCUGGAGGUAUCAGAAGUGCGAAUGCUGACAUAAGUAACGAUAAAGCGGGUGAAAAGCCCGCUCGCCGGAAGACCAAGGGUUCCUGUCCAACGUUAAUCGGGGCAGGGUGAGUCGACCCCUAAGGCGAGGCCGAAAGGCGUAGUCGAUGGGAAACAGGUUAAUAUUCCUGUACUUGGUGUUACUGCGAAGGGGGGACGGAGAAGGCUAUGUUAGCCGGGCGACGGUUGUCCCGGUUUAAGCAUGUAGGCUGGUUGUCCAGGCAAAUCCGGAUAAUCAAGGCUGAGGUGUGAUGACGAGGCACUACGGUGCUGAAGUAACAAAUGCCCUGCUUCCAGGAAAAGCCUCUAAGCAUCAGGUAACAUCAAAUCGUACCCCAAACCGACACAGGUGGUCAGGUAGAGAAUACCAAGGCGCUUGAGAGAACUCGGGUGAAGGAACUAGGCAAAAUGGUGCCGUAACUUCGGGAGAAGGCACGCUGGUGUGUAGGUGAAGUCCCUGCGGAUGGAGCUGAGACCAGUCGAAGAUACCAGCUGGCUGCAACUGUUUAUUAAAAACACAGCACUGUGCAAACACGAAAGUGGACGUAUACGGUGUGACGCCUGCCCGGUGCCGGAAGGUUAAUUGAUGGGGUUAUCCGUAAGGAGAAGCUCUUGAUCGAAGCCCCGGUAAACGGCGGCCGUAACUAUAACGGUCCUAAGGUAGCGAAAUUCCUUGUCGGGUAAGUUCCGACCUGCACGAAUGGCGUAAUGAUGGCCAGGCUGUCUCCACCCGAGACUCAGUGAAAUUGAACUCGCUGUGAAGAUGCAGUGUACCCGCGGCAAGACGGAAAGACCCCGUGAACCUUUACUAUAGCUUGACACUGAACAUUGAGCCUUGAUGUGUAGGAUAGGUGGGAGGCUUUGAAGCGUGGACGCCAGUCUGCGUGGAGCCAACCUUGAAAUACCACCCUUUAAUGUUUGAUGUUCUAACGUUGGCCCCU
rnacentral:rRNA from 1 species